rnacentral:tRNA from 1 species
AGAAACUUAGGUUAACAUUAAACCAAGGACCUUCAAAGUCCUAAAUAGAAACACUUCUUCUAGUUUCUG